UACGUAGGGUCCGAGCGUUGUCCGGAAUUACUGGGCGUAAAGAGCUCGUAGGUGGUUUGUCGCGUUGUUCGUGAAAACUCACAGCUCAACUGUGGGCGUGCGGGCGAUACGGGCAGACUUGAGUACUGCAGGGGAGACUGGAAUUCCUGGUGUAGCGGUGGAAUGCGCAGAUAUCAGGAGGAACACCGGUGGCGAAGGCGGGUCUCUGGGCAGUAACUGACGCUGAGGAGCGAAAGCGUGGGGGAGCGAACAGG
rnacentral:rRNA from 1 species